GUAGUCCACGCCCUAAACGAUGAGUACUAAGUGUUGGUGAAAAUCAGUGCUGAAGUUAACGCAUUAAGUACUCCGCCUGAGUAGUACGUACGCAAGUAUGAAACUUAAAGGAAUUGACGGGAGCCCGCACAAGCGGUGGAGCAUGUUGUUUAAUUCGAAGAUACGCGAAGAACCUUACCAGGUCUUGACAUACCAUGCAAAGCUAUAGAGAUAUAGUGGAGGUUAACAUGGAUACAGGUGGUGCAUGGUUGUCGUCAGCUCGUGUCGUGAGAUGUUGGGUUAAGUCCCGCAACGAGCGCAACCCUCAUUGUUAGUUACCAUCAUUAAGUUGGGGACUCUAGCGAGACUGCCAUUGAUAAAAUGGA
rnacentral:rRNA from 1 species